rnacentral:rRNA from 1 species
UACGUAGGGGGCAAGCGUUGUCCGGAAUCAUUGGGCGUAAAGAGCGUGUAGGCGGCCCGGUAAGUCCGCUGUGAAAGUCCAGGGCUCAACCCUGGGAUGCCGGUGGAUACUGUCGGGCUCGAGUCCGGAAGAGGAGUGUGGAAUUCCUGGUGUAGCGGUGAAAUGCGCAGAUAUCAGGAGGAACACCCGUGGCGAAGGCGGUUCUCUGGGACGGUACUGACGCUGAGACGCGAAAGCGUGGGGAGCGAACAGG